rnacentral:rRNA from 1 species
GACGAACGCUGGCGGCGUGCUUAACACAUGCAAGUCGAACGAAGUGGCGAACGGGUGAGUAACGCGUAAUCAAACUGCCCUUCAGAGGGGGACAACAGUUGGAAACGACUGCUAAUACCGCAUACUGAAGGAGGGGAUGGCGUCUGAUUUGCUAGUUGGAGGGGUAAAGGCCCACCAAGGCGAGGAUCAGUAGCCGUCCUGGUGUGUUGACCGUCCACAUUGGGACUGGGUCACGCCCCCGACUCCUACGGGAGGCAUCAGUGGGGAAUCUUCCGCAAUGGCCGAAUGUCUGACGAAGCAACGCCGCGUGAGUGAUGACGGCCUUCGGGUUGUAAAGCUCUGUUAAUCGGGACGCAGUACCGUAAUAGAAAGCCACGGCUAACUACGUGCCAGCCGCCGCGGUAAUUC